rnacentral:rRNA from 1 species
GACAGAGGGUGCAAACGUUGUUCGGAAUUACUGGGCGUAAAGGGCUCGUAGGUGGCCAACUAAGUCGGACGUGAAAUCCCUCGGCUUAACCGGGGAACUGCGUCCGAUACUGGUUGGCUUGAGUUUGGGAGAGGGAUGCGGAAUUCCAGGUGUAGCGGUGAAAUGCGCAGAUAUCAGGAGGAACACCUAUUGCGAAGGCAGCUCGCUGGGACGUAACUGACGCUGAGACGCGAAAGCGUGGGGAGCAAACAGG